rnacentral:rRNA from 1 species
UACGGAGGGUGCAAGCGUUAUCCGGAUUCACUGGGUUUAAAGGGUGCGUAGGUGGGUAAGUAAGUCAGUGGUGAAAUCUCCGGGCUUAACCCGGAAACUGCCAUUGAUACUAUUUGUCUUGAAUACUGUGGAGGUCAGCGGAAUAUGUCAUGUAGCGGUGAAAUGCUUAGAUAUGACAUAGAACACCAAUUGCGAAGGCAGCUGGCUACACAAAUAUUGACACUGAGGCACGAAAGCGUGGGGAGCAAACAGG